rnacentral:rRNA from 1 species
UUGGACUCGGAUCAGGUAGGGAUACCCGCUGAACUUAAGCAUAUCAAUA